GCCGCGGCUCUCCCACAGGCUCAGGCUCGCACGCUCCCACUUCGGAUUGGACGAUGAACUCCAAGAGAGCGGCGGCGCCUGUGCACCUCCGGUAAAUGUCGGGUAAAAUACAUUCCAAGAAGAGAGUCAAAGGGUGGAUAUACCUACAAUUUUGAGAGAUACUGCCAGAUUGCACGUUAUAGGGAUGGUGCCUUUUUGCCUUCCUACCAACAACAUGUAGGAGUGCAAUUUUCUACAGCCUUGCCUACAAAGAAUGUCAAACUUUCUAAUUUUGCCAGCUUGAUAUAUUAUAAUUAGCAUGUUCCCUCUAUUGAGAAGAGGAAAGAAAAGAAGACCAGAAUAAGGAAGUUCUUUUAAGAAAGUAAUGUGGAUAGUGCCCACAUCAAUUCAGAUCUCACUCCAUUGGCAAGAACUUAGUCACAUGACCAUGCCUAGCAACAGUGACGCUGGAAAUUGAGUUUCCAAUUGGCAGUCUUGUGCCCAGGAAAAAGGAAAUGAUGGUUUUAGAGGAACAAUCAAUAGUCUCUACUGCAAUCUGUCCUCCUGACCCCCUAAAUAUCUGUGUAUCCUUCCUACAGUAGAACACUCUCACCUCCUACACUCCUCCAGAGCUCAGUUUCCCAUUCAGUUUCUAUAUCAGCUCAAAAUCCAGGAUGUCUGAUAACGCACAGUCCUUUCCAGCAGGGUGGGAUAUGGCUUGUCAUGGUGCAGAUACAUAUACACUACAAAACAAAUUAUCUGCCCCAUGCCUGCACUAGUAAUACAAAACAAUAGUGGGACAGGAAUAGGAUAACCCCAGUUAAAACUCAGGGGGAAAAAAGGAAAACAUACAGCAGGUCCUGGUCUAUAGCUAGAAUCCUGGGCAGGAAUUAUGAAUACUCACUACCCUGGUAGUGAAGUUAAGUUCCUUAGUUAGACCCUAGUUCUCCCCUCCAGAGGAUCUCCGUUGUCCAUUGUGUUUUGUGGGCCCAAGCUUUGCCCUCUGGAUACAGGCUAACUGGAUGUUGGAGAGUAUUCCCAACAUGUUUGGGGGAAUGCCCCCAGGCUUGAACAAUUGAGGGCUUUUUUAGGCCAUGUUUUUCAAUUUAUAUAUAUAUAUAUAAAUUUUAUAUAUAUAUAAUUUCAUUGAGUAUUCAGUAACCUCUGCUGCUUCCAGACAGUUUCUGCUGCCAGUAACCACAUCCAAAGUUCUUUCUAGUAGUUGUUAAACCUGCCCUAUUUUCUGGCUUCCAUGCUCAGUCCAUUCUUAAUGUCCUCUUUUUAAUGAUGGAAGCCUUGAAAUCAUCUGAAACAAUAGGCUUAAAUGAGAAGAGAAGUCUAUUCAUUUGAUUUUUGCUUCAGCUUAUCUUUGUUUUCUGUUGUUUUUUGUUUAUUUUUGUUUACCAAAAAGUCUUAAUGGACUAUGAGAAAUCGCUAAGCCAAGUCUUCUCUUCUGCUGUUUAGGGGUACAUAAACAGUUGGCUUUUUCAACUUAGUGAAGCCCCAGAAUUUCUAGACAUUCUAUUCCCUUUUUACUCUGACUUCAGACUUGCUUGUAAUACCUUGCUGAAAGCAAAAAGAUGCAGCCACACACACGCACUGGCUCUUUCCAAAUACCUCCACUAGAGCUACAAGCUAGGGAGGGAUUUGUCUGCCUUCCUAGUUAUUGUAGGCAGCAGUUUUACUAAACUUUUUGACAUGCCAAUGCCUUCCCUUUCCAGACUGCUCAUUACCCCUGCCCAACUUCUAAGAGAUUGCUACAUAUUAUUAGAUUUUACUUAUAGCAGUGUGAACAUUGAUGAACACAAACUGCAUUAAAAUGGAGUCAGGAGUCCAAAAGGGGGUCGUCUCAUGCCCUACGUCAAAAGCAGAGUCCAACAGGAAGAAGAAAGACGUCCUCUUCUUGACCAGCAAGAAGCUCUGCCAAUGAGAGACUGUCACAACUCAGCUACCAAGAAGCCACUACUCCUCAAACUCCUUGUUUACAAAAGCCCUCCCAACUUCCUCUUCCCUCUAUAAAAGGGUUUCUCCUCUCUUUGCUGCUGGAGACUUGCACAUGGCUCACCAUGGUUGUGGACCCUAAAUUGCCAUUCUUUGCUGAUCCCAAAUAAACCCACUUUUGCUGGAGAAA